ACCAUAAUUUUUUAGCCUAUCAUAUACUAAAGUAAAAUUAAGCUUGACCCGACUUAUUCACACUCUUAAGUAUUUGUGAUUAGAGAAUUGUUCUUUCCUCUCGAUUUUUUUCUAUUAAAAAAAACUUUAAUUUAGGUUAUCAUUAUUCUCUCACUCUUAAUCAUUCAUGCAACGAAGAGAGAAAAGCCCUGGUUUAAAGAUCAUCUGGAUUUGGACAUUCGGAACCGCCGCUAUACUCAUUGCGAAUGUGAUGAGAACCGGAAUACGGGACUUUCAAUCUGCUAUGAAAGCUGAAGAACAAGAACAACAGCAACAGCAACAGAAUGAUUCUGCAACGGUUAUUGAUUCUCGUUUUCCGGAGGAGAGGAUAAUUGAAGACUAGUUCAAUUUGUAUUGAGUGUUUGUGUUUUGAUAUUUACCGGCUUUUAUUUUGUGAUCGUGUUUAAACUUGUUGAGUAUAAAUGGGCACGCAAGGUGUUUGAUGAAUGUCCUAGCUGAAAACUUUACUCGGAAGCUGAAACUUAUGUUUGUGGCUACUGUUAAUUUCUUUUGUGCUGUUCUGAAUUUUUUUAAUUUAUUUAGUUUCAGAUUCA